rnacentral:tRNA from 2 species
GGUGCGAUGGCGAAGUGGUAACGCGGCGGUCUGCAAAACCGCUAUGCACGGGUUCGAAUCCCGUUCGCACCU